rnacentral:rRNA from 1 species
UCAGGACGAACGCUGGCGGCGUGCUUAACACAUGCAAGUCGAACGGUGAAGCCCUUCGGGGUGGAUCAGUGGCGAACGGGUGAGUAACACGUGGGCAAUCUGCCCUGCACUCUGGGACAAGCCCUGGAAACGGGGUCUAAUACCGGAUAUGACCUUCCUAUGCAUGGGGGUUGGUGGAAAGCUCCGGCGGUGCAGGAUGAGCCCGCGGCCUAUCAGCUUGUUGGUGGGGUGAUGGCCUACCAAGGCGACGACGGGUAGCCGGCCUGAGAGGGCGACCGGCCACACUGGGACUGAGACACGGCCCAGACUCCUACGGGAGGCAGCAGUGGGGAAUAUUGCACAAUGGGCGAAAGCCUGAUGCAGCGACGCCGCGUGAGGGAUGACGGCCUUCGGGUUGUAAACCUCUUUCAGCAGGGAAGAAGCGCAAGUGACGGUACCUGCAGAAGAAGCACCGGCUAACUACGUGCCAGCAGCCGCGGUAAUACGUAGGGUGCGAGCGUUGUCCGGAAUUAUUGGGCGUAAAGAGCUCGUAGGCGGCUUGUCGCGUCGGAUGUGAAAGCCCGGGGCUUAACUCCGGGUCUGCAUUCGAUACGGGCAGGCUAGAGUUCGGUAGGGGAGAUCGGAAUUCCUGGUGUAGCGGUGAAAUGCGCAGAUAUCAGGAGGAACACCGGUGGCGAAGGCGGAUCUCUGGGCCGAUACUGAC